rnacentral:tRNA from 1 species
GUGGUUUUAAGUUAGUUUAAACUGUAAAUUUUCAAAAUUUAAAAAGAAGUUAGGAUAGUUCUUCAGACUGCA